CCCAGGGCUCUGCGGUGUGCGCCGUCGCCUCGCACAGCCCGGGGCCGGGCAGGCUGCACCCGGUGAGGUGGGAAUGCGGGCACGAGUCCCGCACGAGGCGGCGGCCAGGCGCGAGGCUGCGUGGGGCAGUCACGACGGCGACUGGGGGCCACCAGGAGGGCCCUGGCUCCGCCCUCCGCCCUCGCAGUGACCCGGGGAUGACCCGCCGCACGUCCCGGCCGCCUGUGCCCUUGCGCUUCGGGCCCCGCACUGGUGCCCCUCCUAAUGCUGCCCGGCGCCGCCACCACCUCCAGGAAGCCCUCCGGUGGGCCCACUCCCCGUCGCGGGUCUCAGCGUCUGGCAGUCAUCGCACUGAAAACAGCCCCUCCCUGGGCCACGCGGCCUCCACCUAAUGCCCCCGCCCCGGGUCCCGGCGCGUUCAGUGGGCACAAAGUUCGGAGGGGCCGCUCCGGCGUUCGCACCGGGCGGGCCCAGAGCAGCUGCCGCGGUAAUCUGAUCCCGGGACAAAGGCGUGCCCGCCGGUGCUCCGGCCACAGCACAGGGAACAGCUCCUGCGCCUUAGGGAAGCAGAAUGCUCAGAAGUCAGCUUUUGGAGGAAACAUCAACCUAGAGGAAAAAGGAUCCUGACACUAGGUGGCAAGAUUAAAUUAGGAUUUGAGCUGGCCCCUCCCUGUGGUGACAGCAAGUCCCUCUAGAGCCCAAAAAGGCCACCAUCAUGGAGGUGGCAGCAUCUUCUGAAGACUCCAUUUGCUCUGAACCAAACAGUAGGGAGUUCACGGUGAGGUCCCAGCCUGGCUUUCUCACCUGGCACUAACCAUCAUAUGCUUGUUUCUGGUGGUUAACUCUUCACUAUUCCAGGAGGCAACAGUGGAAAACCUAAAGUGGAUAUCUCUGUUGAUCCUAAAACUUUACAGUUAUUUGGGAAACAAGGUAGCAGGAGACAGGCUGGGUCACCUGAAGAGGAGCCACAGAGUAGCAGUUCCAGCUGCGCGACAGCCAGAGGGCCUGCCCUGGACGACUUUACCACGUGACCUUCAGAUGUCUGGCUGCAGUGGUUGUCCUUGGCGUUGGAAGACUUUCCCUCUGCUUAGACACUUUGUGAUCAAGACAUCUGCCGGGAUGAAAGUCACGUUCUGCCUCGACGGUGCCCUGUUCUCACCAAUAAGGCAGUUCUAACACACCUACAGAGGACACUGGCCAGGCUGCUUCCUUGGGGCUGAGCUACAAUCAAAGGGGGCACUCCAACGCUCACCUGGAACCCUAAUGAAGCUACGGAGGUGUUGGGGGUGGUCAGGGAGCCGCUGGCGGGGAUGGUAAAGAGAGGGAGAAGUGCAAAGCUAGGUGCCACAGGAGGAGUCUCUGCCCCAACUUACUUCUCCAUCGUGCCUAGGAGGGCAAUUUAGAUAAUUCAUUGUAUGAUACGUGUGUUCUCG
rnacentral:lncRNA from 1 species